rnacentral:rRNA from 1 species
AAUAGAUACCCUGGUAGUCCACGCCGUAAACGAUGGAUGCUAGCUAUUGGGGGGAAUCGACCCCUCCGAAGCGAAGCUAACGCGUUAAGCAUCCCGCCUGAGUAGUACGAGCGCAAGCUUAAAACUCAAAGGAAUUGACGGGGACCCGCACAAGCGGUGGAGCGUGUGGUUUAAUUCGAUGGUAAACGAAGAACCUUACCAAGGUUUGACAUCCCGGUAGCCGUUCUCCGAAAGGAGAAUUUCAUUUAGUUGGACCGGUGACAGGUGAUGCAUGGCCGUCGUCAGCUCGUGUCGUGAGAUGUUGGGUUAAGUCCCGCAACGAGCGCAACCCUUAUGAUUUAGUUGGAUUUUUUCUAAACAGACUGCCCUGGUAACAGGGAGGAAGGAGGGGAUGAUGUCAGGUCAGUAUUUCCCUUACACCUUGGGCGACACACGCGCUACAAUGGCCGGUACAAUGGGCAGCUAAGCCGCGAGGUGGAGCAAAUCCCAUCAAAGCCGGUCCCAGUUCGGAUUGCAGGCUGAAACCCGCCUGCAUGGAGCCGGAAUCGCUAGUAA